UAUUUCAGUUACAGAGAAUUCUGGCUCUGAGAGCCUUUCUAGUUCUAAUGGCCUACUCAUUUUAUGUCACUCUAGGAUUGAAAGUUCAGUGAGAAAAUGAUCUAAAAGUUGGCAUGAUGUGAGAGCUUUAUCUGAGAUGGUUAUGGAUGAAAACGCUGAACUCUGUAAUUAUUUCCCCAAAUUAUACAGCACAGGAUAAGAUACUCUUAGAUUAUUUUAGUUUUGUUUUUGGUGCUUUUUAAUUUGGGCUAUGGCUGGGAAGCCACAGAUAGUCUUGCAGUGUGACCAACAUGGUUCCAUGGCAGUUCACCUUUUGUUUUCAUAUGGAAACCUCUCUCACUUGCCUUAUUUAUAAAAGCCUCUCACCUAGGUGAAUCCUGAGCUGCUUUAGAAGAGAAGGCCAGGACUGCAUUGUUAAUUCAUGUAAAAAGAGACCAAUGGGCCCUAAUAUGUUUGAGAAGUCAGUGUGGCCAUUGAGCCCUGCGAGGCUCCUGGCAUAAGCAUGCUCAGAAUGCCCCCAGGUAGGAGAUCCAUACCCUGAUGAAAAUGCUGGGAAGGAAAGGCUAAGGCUUAGCAUAUGUAGCCCUUCUUGGAAUCUGUGGGUUCCCCUGAGAUGUCAGGAGACUCCAUGGGGCUGUGCACAGAUACUCAUUCUUGGAGGGGAUUUUAAGAGGAAUGAAGUCCUAUGAUUCAGCCACUGAAGGACAACUAGACUUCAAAAGCAAAAAUCUACAAAAAAACACAACUGCUCCCAGGAAUUAUAUUGUGUAAAACUUUGCUUUAAAAAAUGACGGUGGAGGUUGGGUGGGAGGGGACUCAGAUAUUUUGAUUGUUGUCAUGCUCUGUCAGCCCAGGACUCUGAAUUGCAGUUGUAGGAGUGGGUAGAUAUGACGUCAACAUGAGGAAAACAUCAGGGAAACAAAAGUACAGGAAGGCCAGGUCUGCAAUUAACUAGGCCAAGGAUAAAAUCUGAUUGCAUGCUGUUCUGGGGAGAGGAGGAGGUGGUGUGGCUAGGCGGAAAGGCAGUACUCCGAGUCAGCCACGUAAGAUCCUGAACAUGUUGGAUGAGGUGACAGGUGUGGGAAUAUUUGCACAGUGGUGGUUGCCAGACACAGCGGGCCUGAAGCUGCAACAGGAGGAGCAGGAGGCUCUGGGGCACUCACCAUGUUGUUCCAGAGGGCAAUGGCCAUCUCGGCGUGACCGCGCUCUGAGAAGUGGAAGCAGUCGUCGGAGAAGAAGGAAAAGAGGCCUUGGAAGCCUGCUUGGAGAGAGAUGAUUAAAAGAAAAACCUACGUAGGGAAGUAAGUGCAUCACCUAAGAGCAGCCUCUCCCAUGCACCGCCCAGAAGCACCCCUGGCUUACGCUGUUCAGGGGGAUGAGAGUGUUUUGGAAGAAUGGCUGCAGCACCACGGCGAAGUCCUCACGCUGAAGAAAAGCAGUGGGGGUCCAAAGCAAUGAAGUGACUUGCAUACUUCAGGCAGUCAAUAAGGAUGUGUCCAAGGGCUUUCGAUUCUCAAGAAAUUGCAACCUAGUAAAAAUCAAAGAUCUGCCAUGGACCUCAGAGCCACAUGGAUCAGGACCCUGCCGGGGGCUAAUCUGUGUCCAGCCACCUCCUCCCACAGGCCCGGGCCUCUGGCCACGGCAGGUGGGAUCCGCGCAGAUUUCCCAUCAGGGAUGUUCCCUUGUAUUUCAUCCAGCUCUUUCACUGCAGGCUGACCCUGUUCAAUUCUUAUCCAGCUGCCUGUUUUAAAAAUAACCUUUUGUAUAUUUGAAAAAGUCAUGGCCCUAAAUUAUCCCUCAGCUUUCUCCUUUCCUGGCUUCCUGACUCCUUAACCUUUGCUUCUAAGGCCCACUCUCGGGUCCUUUAAUCCUUUUGUUUUACUUCUGUGUAGUUACUUUGGAUUUCUACACCAUUCCCCAUCUCCUCACUUUUUUUCCUCCCAACAAGACAGGAUGGGGGAGACAAAUAGGAUUAGUUCUUCCUCCAGCUCCCUGUUGUCUGCCACUAAUAAGGAAAUGAAUGUUUUUGGAUGAGAGAUAUGUAUAUCAAUGGGACACUACUCGGCAAUAAAGUGGAAUGAAACUAUCGACA